GGCUGAAGACGCACACAAGGAGUGGGCCGGAGGUUUGGAUUUUGGAGAUGGAGUCCGUGGACUCUGUGAGGGCAGAGGCCACGUCUGUCCUGUUCCUGCCUCUAGCACGGAGCCCGCCACGCAGGAGGUGCCCAGUGAAUAUUCGUUGGGCGAACGAAGGAACCAGGUGUUGUUCAAGUCGCCUGGGAAUCUCGUGUGCCUCUGUCAUUGUGGAUCGCAGUGUAUCCGGGGCCGGUGAGAGUCUGACUCACUUCUGAUGAGCAUGGGAAGCAAAUAUGGGACUACAGUCACCACUCUAUUCCGGGCUCCCAGAGACAUCAAUACUCCCUACAGGUCCUUCACCCUGGAGAGCUCGGGUGGGUCCUCAGAACUCCCGGUUCACCACUUACAGCAGCUGCUGCUGGUCUGGCAAACGUGGGGGUCGAGGAGAAGUGGACGCUGGCGGAAUGGAGGUGAAAAACACGAGUUGUGGAGAGGAACUGGGGCCAGAGGUUACAGCUGGAAAUCCCAUCUCCCCUCGACCCCUUCUUCCUUCUUGUGCUCCUGCCCGUGGUCCUCGAGCACGGGGCAGCAGAGAUGGCUGCCCGGAUGUCUGGGAUGCCUGGAUGGAGGAGGAAAAUCCCAGGGUUUCUUCGUUGUCAAGUUUUGUUUGGUUUUCGUUUUUGUUUUUGUCUUCCGCCUGGAUACAAAACGUGUGAUGCCCGCACAGUCACAGAAUAAAGCAGAACGGGUUCAGGAU